rnacentral:rRNA from 1 species
UACGUAGGGGGCAAGCGUUGUCCGGAAUCAUUGGGCGUAAAGAGCGUGUAGGCGGCUCGGUAAGUCCGCUCUGAAAGCCCGGGGCUUAACCCCGGGUCUGCAGUGGAUACGGGCAGGCUAGAGGUAGGUAGGGGAGAAUGGAAUUCCCGGUGUAGCGGUGAAAUGCGCAGAUAUCGGGAGGAACACCGGUGGCGAAGGCGGUUCUCUGGGCCUUACCUGACGCUGAGGAGCGAAAGCGUGGGGAGCGAACAGG